AUUUGAACAGGUGGGUCUGACACUCACACUUGUCUCUGGAGGAGAAAGGAGUUCAUGAGCUUCAGUGUCGGCUGCAAACUACAUUGACAGACUUAUCUGGUCACACUUCAUUGCUUAGAUACUGAGAAAUUAAUAAAAAAUGGGGAACGUACCAUCAGAGAGUAACAUGGGCAACAGCCUGAGAUGCUGUGUAUGUGAUAAAGUCUUGCCUCCGUGCCAUUCUUUUGACAAUUUGUACCAAGAUACUCUCCAUGGCCAAUAUGUUCAUGUCUUCAAUGGAGGCGAAUACUACAGACCAGUCGGUCACAAUAAUCUAUACCAAUGCCAACAUUGUUUUUAUAAGCCAAUCAGAGAUG